AGUGGGGGAGAGAGGGCUCUUUUAUUUAUUUAUUUCUAGCUUUUUAAAACAGAUGGUUCCUUAUGUGCUGAGCGGAAGUGUCUGUUAACUCAGUUGGCUCACUAUUGGUGGCUGCCGGCCAAUGAUAACAACGGGAUCGGGGAGUGUGAGCAACAGUGCAGUUUGCUUUUCUUCAGAUGCUCUGCGAACAGAAGGAUGGCAGCCUGCAGAUACUGUUGCACGGCCACCCGAGCCUGGCGCUGCCAGCGCCGGCACCCAUCGCACUUCACGGCAGCACCCGCUCCGCCUCGCUGCUGCAUGUCUAUUCUUAGCUGGGAGCUGUGUGCAGUGACUGUCUCUACCUCACAAACAGAACACCUUGAGGGAAGAGUGAUUAGAAUACAGGUGCCGUGCUUCUUGACGAGCCUAAUGAGGAGUAUCUGGGAGCUGUCUCCACACCUGUAACGUGUUGCCCAUUACUGCUCCUGCAGUAUAAAGAUCCAGAGUGAAGAGUCUGAUUAAAUAAUCAUUGGAGUAGCGGUGUGCGUGCGGCUUUCCCCCUGCUCCUCACCUUGGGGACAUAUUGUCCCCUGUCACUGAAACCUCGGGGACAGAAGGCUCCGCCGUGGGGAGGCUCAGCAGGGGAGCAAGGGGCUGAUGAAACGAAGAUCGGGUAAUGAAGGCAUGGCCCAUGGCUUCCGUGGCUCUGCCAUAUGUUUCACCAAAUGCAAAUUGCCCCCAAUUCAAACAACUUUUUCAUCUUGAUAUAUGCAAAUGUGUUUAUAAAUACUGGCUUAUAAAUAUAGCAUUACAGUUUUUACGGAGGGAGCUUUGAGUCAUUUUCUCCCUCGCUCUGCUGUUAUGUGUGGCAGUGGCGCAGCGUGACAGGCUUUAACGAACAGGCUCGGACCUGGCAGCGCCUAAUGGUGUCCUGGGGGACAGGAAGUAUGGGGGUCAAAGGGAGGGGAGCGCUGACUGGCCUGCGAACCAAUGAGGGCGGCCCUCGUGAAUGCCUAAUCCAAUUAAAAUUAGCCCAGUUAUCACACAAGCCAAUGACAAAUCAAAGGGGGCACGCAUACAAAAAUGAGUGCUGGAGGUGACCACACAUUUGAACUUUUGGCAUUUUGAUUCACUUAACUUUUAGACAACACGCUCAUUCACAGUUAAGCAUUUUUAACCUGUGCUCAAAAUACAAAAUAAAUAAUCCAUAAAAUAAAUAACUGGAUAAACAAAAAAUAAAAAGUGUAUUUUGUUUACAUGAGUUCUGAAGAGUUCUGUGGGGCAACAUCACCUUAACACUAAGAGCUUAGACUGUGUGUGUGUGUGUGUGUGUGUGUGUGUGUGUGUGUGUGUGUGUGUGUGUGUGUGUGUGUGUGUGUGUGUGUGUGUGUGUGUGUGUGUGUGUGUGUGUGUGUGUAUCUGCUCAGAGCAAUGAACCCAAAACAUCAACAUCAAAGAGGCAAAAUGUUAAAUAAUGAUAAAGCCUUGAUUGCACUCUAAUUAACUUGAUUGAGCUACCCGAGAGCUAAACUGCUUAUAUAUUUCUAUUUUGACCUGGAAAAACUUUGUAACACAUCUUCAUCCAACAGAGAGGGAAAAACACUUUCAAUUAAGCAACAGAAAAAUAUUUAUUAUCUUUUAUCUGAUUUUAAAUAUGGAUUGUACGUCCUGUUGGCCCUCUCCUAACAUGUCACACCAGGUCGCCUCUUCCUGUAUCUCUGUAACUCAGGCCUGGUGAGGACAGCUGACGCUGUU